rnacentral:rRNA from 1 species
AACGAACGCUGGCGGCAGGCUUAACACAUGCAAGUCGAGCGCCCCGCAAUGGGAGCGGCAGACGGGUGAGUAACGCGUGGGAAUCUACCCAUCUCUACGGAAUAACGCAUGGAAACGUGUGCUAAUACCGUAUACGUCCUUCGGGAGAAAGAUUUAUCGGAGAUGGAUGAGCCCGCGUUGGAUUAGCUAGUUGGUGGGGUAAAGGCCUACCAAGGCGACGAUCCAUAGCUGGUCUGAGAGGAUGAUCAGCCACACUGGGACUGAGACACGGCCCAGACUCCUACGGGAGGCAGCAGUGGGGAAUAUUGGACAAUGGGCGCAAGCCUGAUCCAGCCAUGCCGCGUGAGUGAUGAAGGCCCUAGGGCUGUAAAGCUCUCUCACCGGUGAAGAUAAUGACGGUAACCGGAGAAGAAGCCCCGGCUAACUUCGUGCAGCAGCCGCAGUAACAC